AGGUCACUGCUAUCGGGAUCCGACUAAGCCAUGCAAGAUGAUUGUACCCUCAGCAAUGAGGGUGUCAUGUCGUACGGCUCAGUAACACGUAACUAACCUGCCCUUGGGUCAGGGAUAACCUCGGGAAACUGAGUAGAAUACCUGAUAGGUUUUGGAGGCUGGAAUGUUCGCCUUUUUUUCAAGAAAAAAAGGCUUCCCAGAAUGCACCAAAACUGAAAGGCGACGCCCAAGGAUGGGGUUGCGACGGAUUAGGCUGUUGUUGAGGUAAAAGCUCAACAAACCUAUAAUCCGUACGGGUUGUGAGAGCAAUCGCCCGGAGAUGGAUUCUGAGACAAGAAUCCAGGCCCUACGGGGCGCAGCAGGCGCGAAACCUUUACAAUGCGCGCAAGCGUGAUAAGGGGAUCCCGAGUGCCUUGGUACUACCAAGGCUUUUGCCCACUCCAAACAGGUGGGCGAAUAAGUGGUGGGUAAAACGGGUGCCAGCCGCCGCGGUAAUACCCGUGCCACGAGUGGUGACCGUGAUUAUUGGGCCUAAAGCGUUCGUAGCCGGCCUGAUAAGUCCUCUGUGAAAUCUUGGGUUGAACUCAAGGCUUGCUGGGGAAACUAUCAGGCUUGGGACCGGGAGAGGCUGGAGGUACUCCAGGAGUAGGGGUAAAAUCCUGUAAUCCCUGGGGGACCACCAGUGGCGAAGGCGUCCAGCUUGAACGGAUCCGACGGUGAGGGACGAAAGCUAGGGGAGCGAAGGGGAUUAGAUAUGAGCCAAGAAUCUUGGCCCACUAAAUACCCCCGUAGUCCUAGCCGUAAACGAUGCCCGUUUGGCGUUGCAGAACCUUCGGGGUUUUGCAGUGCCGUAGCGUAGGCGUUAAACGGGCCGCCUGGGGAGUACGGCCGCAAGGUUGAAACUUAAAGGAAUUGGCGGGGGAGCACCACAAGGGGUGCGGCCUGCGGUUCAAUUGGAUUCAACGCCAAAAAUGUCACCAGGGGCGACAGCAGAAUGAUGGUCACUCCGAAGGGGUUACCUGACGCGCUGAGAGGUGCUGCAUGGCCAUCGUCAGUUCGUACCGUGAGGCGUUCGGUUAAGUCCGACAACGAACGAGACCCACACCCUCAGUUGCCACCCUGUCCCAAGGGAUGGGAGCACUCCGAGGGGACCGCUGGUGAUAAACCAGAGGAAGGAGUGGGCGACGGUAGGUCCGUAUGGCCCGAAUCUCCUGGGCUACACGCGGGCAACAAUGGCAAGGACAAUGGGUUGCAACACCGAGAGGUGAAGCCAAUCCCCAAACCUUGUCCCAGUUCAGAUCGAGCGCUGCAACUCGCGCUCGUGACGCCGGAAUCCCUAGUAAGCGCUGGUCACUAUCCAGCGCUGAAUACAUCCCUGCUCUUUGCACACACCGCCCGUCAAGCCAUUUGAGCGAGGUUUUGACGAGGCC
rnacentral:rRNA from 1 species